UACAGAGGUGGCAAGCGUUGUUCGGAAUUACUGGGCGUAAAGGGCGCGUAGGCGGUCUCGUAAGUCCUGUGUGAAAUCCCCCGGCUCAACUGGGGAACUGCACAGGAAACUGCGAGACUUGAGUUCGGGAGAGGGAAGCGGAAUUCCGGGUGUAGCGGUGAAAUGCGUAGAUAUCCGGAGGAACACCGGUGGCGAAGGCGGCAUCCUGGACCGGCAUUGACGCUGAGGCGCGAAAGCCAGGGGAGCAAACGGG
rnacentral:rRNA from 1 species